UAAAGUUUGAUAGUUGGUUUCAUUGUUCUCUGUCAUGCACCCCCCGCCACACACACAGGCACACACUAAAUUCGUAGCCAUAGUUGUUCUUAUAUAGGCACACAUGUUUGACGAUUGAGUUAAUGGAACCAGUUAAGUGUAAAAUAGCUUUGACUCCAUGAAUUUUCCUCCAAGCUAUAAAUUAGCACAUAAAUUUUAGUAGUAAAUAAGUUUUCAAGUUAUUUCAUUAAAGUCCCUGUAUCAGCCCAAAUUAUGAGAGUCCACACAACACAUGAAUUGUGGCCAACAGCCAAGUUGCCCAUUUUCAGUAUCGCCUUGUACAUCUUCAGAGAUACUCAAGUCGUUUGUGCAUAAGGUAACUGAGGAGAAUUCCUCAUCCAGUCUGAAGAGCAGUCUCCCAUAAAUUUCUUGUAAGGAGACCCAAGGUGAAUAUCUUCCAGACGUUCCAAGUUGUCUAGCAUGGUAGUCACUAGCCACAUGUAGCUAUUUAAAUGUAAUUUUAAAUUCACCUAAAAUUAAAACAAUUGAAUUCCUCAUGUGAAUAACCACAUUUAAACUGCUCACUAGUUACAUUUUCCUCAUCUCUAGAAAGUUCUUUUGCACAAUGCUGGUCGAAGGUAAGUGGCUGAGAGGAUUAACUAAUGUGAGAAAGCCUGCACACGAGGCGGUGGCCGGGUGCAGUGCGUGUUUUUUUAUUGGGUUUUGAAUAAAAGACGAAAACAAAAAGGUAGGACGUCAUUGGAAGAAAUUAGCAUAUAGGCUGAAGUAGGUAAUCGUGUGGUUUCCUGGGUAGGCAGAAGAAUGUACUGGAUCUUAGAGGAAAUCUGAUGAAGCUUUACAGGAAACGGUGCGUGUGUGUGUGUGGGGGGAAUUUCCCCGACUAUACAUAGCCAGACAUGUGUGGGUGUACGUGCGUGUGCGAAGAGAAAAGGGUACGCUGUAUAUUUAAAAGUACAUAGCCUACGCGUGUAGCUGACUGGUCCUACGCUCCAGCGGCGCAGAGCAACCAGGUUCCUACGCUCCCUCCCUGGUGCCGAGCGCCAUUUGGACUCCUUUUCCCAGAAGGCUGUUGACCCUAUGCUUGGCCGGUUUCCAGCACGCAUCGGGCAGGGCUCUCUGGGAGAAUAUCCCGAGCUCAGCGCGGGCCACCGGCAGAAGAGCAGACCGGAAGUGUCUUUGGCUAUUGUACUCACGUCGACGGCUGGUGGCGCCAUUCCCGCUCUGUGAGGGGUUGGCUGCGGUGAUGAGUCUGCUGUUCCGGCGGCGUGGUGGCUUAUCUCUUCCUUCUCAGUAGAGCAUCAAGGAAGACAAGCCCAAGGCCCACAAUACUGCAUUCCCAACAGAUGUU
rnacentral:lncRNA from 1 species